UACGUAGGUGGCAAGCGUUGUCCGGAUUUACUGGGCGUAAAGAGCGCGCAGGCGGUCGUUCAAGUCGCGUGUGAAAGCCCCCGGCUCAACUGGGGAGGGUCACGCGAUACUGAUCGACUCGAAGGCAGGAGAGGGUAGUGGAAUUCCCGGUGUAGUGGUGAAAUGCGUAGAUAUCCGGCGGAACACCGGUGGUGAAGACGGUCUCCUGGGCCGAGGGCCGACGCUGAGGCGCGAGAGCGUGGGGAGCGAACCGG
rnacentral:rRNA from 1 species